GGACUAACGUCGGCGGCGUGCAUAACACAUGCAAGUUGAGCGUGGCCUUAGUUUACUAAGGUCUAGCAGCGGACGGCUGAGUAAUGCACAGGAACGUACCCGGAAGUGGGGGAUAGCCCUUCGAAGAAGGGGUAAUACCGCAUGUGAUCGCAAGAUCAAAGCCGCAAGGCGCUACCGGAGCGGCCUGUGUCCUAUCAGGUUGUUGGUGGGGUAAAAGCCUACCAAGCCUAUGACGGGUAACUAGGUCUGAGAGGAUGACCAGUCAGAUCGGGACUGAGACACGGCCCGAACUCCUACCGGGAGGCAGCAGUUGGGAAUCUUGCACAAUGGACGAAAGUACUGAUGCAGCGACGCCGCGUGGGGGAGUGAA
rnacentral:rRNA from 1 species